CAGUAGCCACGGGAAUACGAAGGGGGCUAGCGUUGCUCGGAAUUACUGGGCGUAAAGGGAGCGUAGGCGGAUCGUUUAGUCAGGGGUGAAAUCCCGGGGCUCAACCUCGGAACUGCCUUUGAUACUGGCGAUCUUGAGUAUGGGAGAGGUGUGUGGAACUCCGAGUGUAGAGGUGAAAUUCGUAGAUAUUCGGAAGAACACCAGUGGCGAAGGCGACACACUGGCCCAUUACUGACGCUGAGGCUCGAAAGCGUGGGGAGCAAACAGGAUUAGAUACCCCAGUAGUCCCUGUCUCUUAUAC
rnacentral:rRNA from 1 species